CAGUCGCCGCGGGAAUACGUAGGGUGCGAGCGUUGUUCGGAUUUAUUGGGCGUAAAGGGAGCGCAGGCGGUUUAGUAAGUCUGAAGUUAAAGGCAUUGGCUCAACCAAUGUAUGCUUUGGAAACUGUUAGACUUGAGUGCAGAAGGGGAGAGUGGAAUUCCAUGUGUAGCGGUGAAAUGCGUAGGUAUAUGGAGGAACACCGGUGGCGAAAGCGGCUCUCUGGUCUGUCACUGACGCUGAGGCUCGAAAGCGUGGGUAGCGAACAGGAUUAGAUACCCCGGUAGUCCCUGUCUCUUAUACA
rnacentral:rRNA from 1 species